AUUUUUCUGGAGCUCGCCCAUCUGACCCAGUCCUCCACAUGAGAUCUGGCAAGAUAAUCGCUCCAAGCGUCUGGGGAGCAGCACCAGAAGCAUCUGCAGGGUGAGGAGAGUCUGUGCUGCAGUGGGUGGGGAGGACCUCGUCUCCAAGAACGCAAAAACCUCUGUUCCAUCUCUCUUCCCAAAACUCACCCUUCUGCCCAAAUCGCAAGGAGAAUGGCCGCCUCCUGCCUGCAGCCCGGGGGACGCCCUGUACAUCUCGGUCUGUGCUGGUCUGGCAGGAGCAGGGACUGAAACUCUUGGUUCCUCUUUCUCUUGGGCCGGAGGAUUGUCC